CUCCUUCGUGAAGCUCACACCUCCCCCGCCCCGGGAGGGGUUUGCCCGCCACUGUCGCUGAAUGAUUGCAUCAUCGAAAGCAGAAAACCACUUUUGCAUCCUUCGGUCUCUGGCGUGCCUGCCAUGACGUAAUAGCUCUGCGGAGGUGGAAGUUGGGGAGCUUUGAGGUAACUGGAGUCUUGAUCUGAGCGCAGACGUCCUUCCUAACCUCACUGCAUUUGGAGGACCUGGAGGGAGGGUGGGUGAAGGGCAAGGAAAGAGGCAGGAUGAGAGCUUGGCCGCGGUGGCGUCUGAGGGGCCUGAAUGUUUCAAGGCCAGAGCCUGGCGAUCAGGCAGCUCGCUUAGUCCUAAACCAGUCAUCCUUCUCCAGGCCUCCUCUGUAAAAUGGAAACUCUGUACCCCUGCUUGUCUUAGGACCUCAUGGAUCCCAGGGGGACCAAGAGAGGAGCUGAGAAGACAGAGGUAGCUGAGCCUCGGAACAAACUACCUCGUCCAGCACCUUCUCUGCCCACAGACCCUGCCCUCUACUCUGGGCCCUUUCCUUUCUACCGGCGCCCUUCGGAACUGGGCUGCUUCUCCCUGGAUGCUCAACGCCAGUACCAUGGAGAUGCCCGAGCCCUGCGCUACUAUAGCCCACCCCCCACUAACGGUCCAGGCCCCAACUUCGACCUCAGAGACGGAUACCCGGAUCGAUACCAGCCCCGGGACGAGGAGGUCCAAGAAAGGCUGGACCACCUGCUGUGCUGGCUCCUGGAACACCGAGGCCGGUUGGAGGGGGGUCCAGGCUGGCUGGCAGAGGCCAUAGUGACGUGGCGGGGGCACCUGACAAAACUGCUGACGACACCGUAUGAGCGGCAGGAGGGCUGGCAGCUGGCAGCCUCCCGGUUCCAGGGAACACUAUACCUGAGUGAAGUGGAGACACCGAACGCUCGGGCCCAGAGGCUUGCUCGGCCACCGCUCCUCCGGGAGCUUAUGUACAUGGGAUACAAAUUUGAGCAGUACAUGUGUGCAGGUGAGUUGCCCCUGCUUCAUAGCCCCCCUCCCCUUCCCAGAGAUUGAGAGCCCCCCACGCCUGCUGCUGCUUCUCUCCUUGUGCAGACAAACCUGGAAGCUCCCCAGACCCCUCUGGGGAGGUUAACACCAACGUGGCCUUCUGCUCUGUGCUACGCAGCCGCCUGGGAAGCCACCCUCUGCUCUUCUCAGGGGAGGUAGACUGCACAGACCCCCAGGCCCCAUCCACACAGCCCCCGACCUGCUAUGUGGAGCUCAAGACCUCCAAGGAGAUGCACAGCCCUGGCCAAUGGAGGAGUUUCUACAGGUUCAGGAUCGGGGUGGGCAGGGCGAGAGCUUAGGCUUGAAGGCUGGGAAAGGGACUUGGGGAGGAGGGUGAAGGCAGAAUAGAGGGUGGACGAGGGGUCCCACUGAUCCCUUGCUUUUCCUGACAGACACAAGCUCCUGAAAUGGUGGGCUCAGUCAUUCCUCCCAGGGGUCCCGAAUGUUGUUGCUGGCUUCCGUAACCCAGACGGUUUUGUCUCUUCCCUCAAGACCUUUCCUACCAUGAAGAUGUUUGAAUAUGUCAGGGUAAGGGAACGAUGUUGCAGCUCCCACCGGUAUCCCCAAACACCAAGACCACAGGUCUAGCAUCCAGGGCAACAGCCUGCCUUCUCUCCUCCCACCACCCCCACUGCCCAUCUUCUGCCUCCUCCUCUGCCUGCUCCAGAAUGACCGUGACGGCUGGAAUCCCUCUGUGUGCAUGAACUUCUGUGCCGCCUUCCUUAGCUUUGCCCAGAGCACCGUUGUCCAGGAUGACCCCAGGCUCGUUCACCUCUUCUCUUGGGAGCCUGGCGGCCCAGUCACCGUGUCUGUACACCGAGAUGCACCUUACGCCUUCCUGCCCAUAUGGUAUGUGGAAGCUAUGACUCAGGACCUCCCAUCACCCCCCAAGACUCCCUCCCCCAAAUAGUAAUGCUUUAGAGGGAGACAGUCAUAUCUCUGUGUGCAGAUAAUAAAAGCAUAUUUCUAAGA
rnacentral:sRNA from 1 species